rnacentral:rRNA from 1 species
UACGGAGGGAGCUAGCGUUGUUCGGAAUUACUGGGCGUAAAGCGCGCGUAGGCGGCUUUGUAAGUUAGAGGUGAAAGCCCGGGGCUCAACCCCGGAAUUGCCUUUAAGACUGCAUCGCUUGAAUCCGGGAGAGGUGAGUGGAAUUCCGAGUGUAGAGGUGAAAUUCGUAGAUAUUCGGAAGAACACCAGUGGCGAAGGCGACCUCACUGGACACGUAUUGACGCUGAGGUGCGAAAGCGUGGGGAGCAAACAGG